rnacentral:rRNA from 1 species
GUAACGUAGGAGACGAGCGUUGUCCGGAGUUACUGGGCGUAAAGGGUGCGCAGGUGGCGGCGCGCGUGGGGUGAAAUCGCCGGCUUAACUGGCGGGGCCUUCCAGACGGCGUGGCUUGAGCAGCGGAGGGGACGUGGAAUUCCGGGUGGAGCGGUGAAAUGACGUAGAGACCGGAGGAACACGACGGCGCAGGCAGCGUCCUGGCCGCUUGCUGACACUGAG